rnacentral:lncRNA from 1 species
CGAAAUCGUCAGUCAUAAUAAUUCAUAAACUUUUUUGAUUGGCUUAUUAAUAGGUCGUCAACUCAUUUGCAUAUCUUUAUAAAUUCAUGACUUUUAGUUCACUCACAUGUGACCUCAAAGCCGGUUUCGUUAGAUCUCCCACGCGACAUAUCAGAAACAGGAGCGAUGAGAGAUCGGUUUUUAAUUAGAUUGGGAGUUUUUAUGAUCAUCAUGCAAUUGUAAUCAGAGUAAUUGAACCAAAGGAUGAUACCAGUGAUCAGAUUGAUUUAGAACUAAUUCAUCAAACAAACAGUACGAUGGGUGCCUUUUGGGACAAAAUUCGUCCUCUAGGAUCACUAGCCAAAUUACAACGUAAAACUGAAACUGUCGAUUUAAAAAGAGACAUAGUGAUGAUUUGUAAAUAUUGGGGAAGCAUAAAGCCCAGUUCUCCAGAAGAAGUAGUGAAACGGGCAAUUGGGGCUUUACAAGCAGGCCCAGGGGAAUUUCGGUACGGUAUUAUUGAUAAUAAUUGCGAACAUUUUGCAUCUUGGUGCGUUACUGGAACAAGACUAAGCGUUCAAAUAAGAAAAGUAACGAUUGUUCUUAAAAUAUUUUUCAAGUUAGGGAAAGGAUUCCGUGGUCUAAGCGACGAACUGUUAAGAAACCAGGUAGAAUAUGAUCAUGGCAUGCUUUGCGAAAGGUGCUUCGAGAGAAAUAAGAAAAUGCUGAGUGUACCUAAAUUAAAAGUUCUAAAAAAAGACCAGAUACAAAAAGGGGACAUAAUUUUGUAUAGCUAUUUCAAACUUCUACACUGUUCAGUUGUCCUUGAUGUCCUCAAGCGUAAAGACAAAUAUAUUAAAUGCGAGAUUGCGCAUUACGCAUUUAAGGGACCAUUCACACAGAAAAAGAUACAAAGUGAUAUUCUGAAAGUUCCGUUUAAUGGAUCAGUUUCAAUAUUUGAUUACUCGCAAUCGACUGAAUUUAAAACCUAUGAUCCGGAGGAAGUAGUUCGUCGAGCAAGGGAACGAUUAGGGGAGCAAAUGUUUUCGUAUUUUUCUAAUGACUCAAGCCACUUCGCCCGCUGGUGUAAAUUAAAAUUGAACUGAUUGAAACUAAUUAUAUGAAAGAUAUACAAACCGGCACAUUAGCUGGACAGAACUAACCGUUUGCCGAUUGAGUAUAAGUAACUAAGAUUCAGUCGAACCAUCUGAAAGACAUGAAUUAAGUGACUAAGGAAUGGUAAAACGUAUAAUUCUAUAUAUACAUUUUCCAUUUAGAGCCCAAUUUAAAAAAAAAAUUAUAUAUAUAUAUAUAUAUGUAUCUCAAUUUAACUCAUAUCCAUUGUAUCAGUUUGUUUUUUAAGUUAAAGUAUUUUUUUUUUCAGAAAUUGUGAAGUUUCUACUCGCCAGGGGUAUGGUUGUGUCACUUGUAUUAUCUUUUACUUGUUAACUGUUACAAUAUUGUCCAUUAAGUUUGGAAGGAAAAGUCAAAAUCAAGAUAUCUAUAGAAAUGCAAAAAAAAAACAUGUAGUCUAAGAGGACAUUUUUUAAGACUUUUAAAAGGUCUAUUUCUAUUCAUUUCUAAAUUUCCAGAUGGAAUACUGGAGGUCUAAUUCGAAUAUAACGACUAACACUAAAUAAAGAGUUAUUACAAAAUAUCGACUAUUUAUUUAUACCAGUUCCUACACGAAUCACUAGACAUGUAAUACAAAAAUAUAAGACUAUUUCUAAAGAAUGCAUUCAAAGAUAUGACAUGGCUAGAUGAAUUGUACAAUUCGAGUAUCAUUUCACUUAUUUAUAGAGAUUAAAGUCAUAUGAAACC